rnacentral:lncRNA from 1 species
GAAUUCUGAAUUAAAGCCUUUCUUUCCAAUCGGUUAAAAUGAUAUUUCAUUUCUUUAGGUUUUUAUGGUUUCAGAAAAGAAAUUUAAAAUGCAUAAGUUGGAUCUUUGUUUCUCUACAGAUGAGGCAAAUUUUUUCCCUCUGUCAAUUUCGAGGUUUGUCCUUGCUUUUGCCUUUUAUUAGCCUAAAUAUAAUGUGUUUUGUUUUAAAAGUUAGUCCUUUUCCUUGCUUUGUGUGAUAGUUGUCAUUAAUUUAGAUGCUUCUCCUCCCUUUUCAGUGUCCUGUGAUGUGUAUGGUCUUCUGUUUUCAGGUAUCACAAUAGUUUUGCAUUCUUCUUUCUCCUUUCCCUGCCUCUUUUCCCUGUCUUACUCAUUCUCUUCUCCUCUUCCUAUUUUGUUUCCUUUGUUUGCUUAAGUUUGACCCAUAGUCAUAGCUUCUUUCCUUAACUAUGGUGAAAAAAACACAAAAGAGGGAUGUUUUUGGUUGUUGGUUCAUUUCUAAUAUUUCCUUGAUAAAAAUGCCAAUCUGAUAUGCAUGGUGUCCAAAUUGUCUUUCUAAUUUCUUUUCUGGAAGUUUCAAAAUCUCUCUCUCUCUCUCUCUCUCUCUCUCUCUCUCUCUCUCUCUCCUCUCUCUCUCCUCUCUGUCUCUUUGUCUCUCUCUGACUAUCUCUGUCUCUGUCUGUCUCUCUCUGUGUGUCUCUGUCUGUCUCUGUUUCUGUCUCUGUCUGUCUGUCUGUUUGUCUCUCUGUCCCCCCCACUUGUGGAUGUAUGCAUGGCAGAACCCUAUCUAUCUAUCUAUCUAUCUAUCUAUCUAUCUAUCUAUCUAUCUAUCUAUUAUUAACUAUCUAUCUAUCUAUCUAUCUAUCUAUCAUUAACUAUCUAUCAUUAUCUAUCUAUCAUCUAUCUAUCUAUCUAUCUAUCUAUCUAUCUAUCUAUCUAUCUAUCUAUCAUCUACCUAUCACAUCUAUCUAUCAUCUAUUCAUCCAUACACUUCUAUUGGUGGUGCUAUCUCUUUAAAGUGUGUUUUAAAUCUUUUGCAUAUGAUUUAUAAUUUUUGCUGAAAGACAUACAUUUUGCAUAAGAUAUUUGAGGCUAAGGUUAGUGGUUUAUAUACUUGAAAAGAAUGAGACUUUCCUUCUAGCAAAACCUUGGAUUGAAGCUUUGCACAAACCUACCUGGGUAUUAUGCCAAGUUUUCAAUUCAUUGUUGGCAGUUACCAAAACGCUUUGCCUGCUUUGACUUCCUCAAGCCCUAUAAGAUCCCGGGACUUCAUUUGCUAACAUCUAACACACCAUCAGUGUCAGACCUUCCCCCUUUUAACUAGAUAGGCUUCCUCAUGUUCUCAUCCCUCUGCAAUCUGUUCCCUCUGUUCAAUGAUUCUUAGCUUUGUAGUGGAAAUCACCACUCUCUUUUCUUUUGUCUGACCUCAGUCUUAUAAAUGUGCUUGCUGUCUGUGCUUCGGUGUUGAGAUUUUCCUACUGCUGCUGCUCUUCUUUUGCAGCUAUGUAGUCAAGAUUAUCUAGAGGAACAGACCCAAC